UAGGGAAUCUUCGGCAAUGGACGAAAGUCUGACCGAGCAACGCCGCGUGAGUGAAGAAGGUUUUCGGAUCGUAAAACUCUUUUGUUAGAGAAGAACAAGGACGUUAGUAACUGAACGUCCCCUGACGGUAUCUAACCAGAAAGCCACGGCUAACUACGUGCCAGCAGCCGCGGUAAUACGUAGGUGGCAAGCGUUGUCCGGAUUUAUUGGGCGUAAGGCGAGCGCAGACGGUUUCUUAAGUCUGAUGUGAAAGCCCCCGGCUCAACCGGGGAGGGUCAUUGGAAACUGGGAGACUUGAGUGCAGAAGAGGAGAGUGGAAUUCCAUGUGUAGCGGUGAAAUGCGUAGAUAUAUGGAGGAACACCAGUGGCGAAGGCGGCUCUCUGGUCUGUAACUGACGCUGAGGCUCGAAAGCGUGGGGAGCAAACAGG
rnacentral:rRNA from 1 species